rnacentral:sRNA from 1 species
GCUGGGCACAGUGGCAUGUGCCUGUUGUCCCAGUGACUCAGGAGGCUGAGGCAAGAGGAUAGCAUUUUCAAGGCCAGCCUCAAUUAUUUAGUGAGGCCCUAAGAAACUUAGUGAGAUCAUGUUUCAA